rnacentral:tRNA from 15 species
GCGGGAAUAGCUCAGUUGGUAGAGCACAACCUUGCCAAGGUUGGGGUCGCGAGUUCAAGUCUCGUUUCCCGCUCCA